GCUCUUGACCACGUGGUGAUCCAGAAAUUGAAUGCAGAAGGCAGAUUGGAGAAGAAAGAAGCAAAGAAGGGGAGUUAUUUUGACAAGAAUGAGCUUUCAGCUAUCUUGAGAUUUGGAGCAGAGGAACUUUUUAAAGAAGAGAGGAAUGAAGAAGAAAGUAUAUUGAGAUGAUUUCUUUGGAGCAAUUCUUGACAACAUUUGUAGUUGGGGUCUUUAGAAUGGAAGAAUGUAUUUCACUAAUUUUUGUAUACAUUUCUUGUUUUGUAUUUAGUGAUAAAAGAAUCUGAAUUGGGCAUAAAUUAUGUUGUAAUAUGAUUUCUUAAACCUAGACUAGUAGACUAAAUAUUGUAAUUACAUUCGAGUAAUUAAUAAAAAUCUAUUUAUGUUACC